rnacentral:rRNA from 1 species
GCUGGCGGCAUGCCUAACACAUGCAAGUCGAACGGGGAUGAGGUGCUUGCACUUCAUUCUAGUGGCGCACGGGUGAGUAACGCGUGGAUAAUCUGCCUGAUGCACUGGGAUAACAUCUCGAAAGGGGUGCUAAUACCGGAUAAGCCCACGACCUCUUCGGAGGAUGCGGGAAAAGGAGGGGACCUUCGGGCCUUCCGACAUCAGAUGAGUCCGCGUCCCAUUAGCUAGUUGGUGGUGUAAAGGACCACCAAGGCGACGAUGGGUAGCUGGUCUGAGAGGAUGAUCAGCCACACUGGAACUGAGACACGGUCCAGACUCCUACGGGAGGCAGCAGUGGGGAAUUUUGCGCAAUGGGGGCAACCCUGACGCAGCAAUGCCGCGUGAGUGAUGAAGGCUUUCGGGUCGUAAAGCUCUGUCAGAAGGGAAGAAAUGUAGGUGGCUAAUAUCCAUUCUACUUGACGGUACCUUCAAAGGAAGCACCGGCUAACUCCGUGCCAGCAGCCGCGGUAAUACGGAGGGUGCGAGCGUUGUUCGGAAUUAUUGGGCGUAAAGCGCGUGUAGGCGGUUUAUUAAGUCUGAUGUGAAAGCCCCGGGCUCAACCUGGGAAGUGCAUUGGAUACUGGUAGACUUGAGUACGGGAGAGGGUAGUGGAAUUCCUAGUGUAGGAGUGAAAUCCGUAGAUAUUAGGAGGAACACCGGUGGCGAAG